AUGAACGCUGGCGGCGUGCCUAAUACAUGCAAGUCGAGCGAACAGACGAGGAGCUUGCUCCUCUGACGUUAGCGGCGGACGGGUGAGUAACACGUGGAUAACCUACCUAUAAGACUGGGAUAACUCCGGGAAACCGGAGCUAAUACCGGAUAAUAUAUUGAACCGCAUGGUUCAAUAGUGAAAGACGGUUUUGCUGUCACUUAUAGAUGGAUCCGCGCCGCAUUAGCUAGUUGGUAAGGUAACGGCUUACCAAGGCAACGAUGCGUAGCCGACCUGAGAGGGGGAUCGGCCACACUGGAACUGGGACAGGGUCCAGACUCCUACGGGAGGCAGCAGAAGGGAAUCUUCCGCAAUGGGCGAAAGCCUGACGGAGCAACGCCGCGUGAGUGAUAAAGGUCUUCGGAUCGUAAAGCUCUGUUAUUGGGGAAGAACAAAUGUGUAAGUAACUAUGCACGUCUUGACGGUACCUAAUCAGAAAGCCACGGCUAACUACGUG
rnacentral:rRNA from 1 species